UUACGGUCAUAUUACGUUGAAAGACCGGUGUUCAUAUGAUCACUGAAGUUAAGCAACGUCGAUCCAGGUUAGUACCUUGAUGGGUGACUGAUUGGGAAUACCAUGUGCUGUA
rnacentral:rRNA from 1 species